GAUGAACGCUGGCGGCGUGCCUAAUACAUGCAAGUCGAGCGAGAAUCUUAGAUUUAAAUCUUCGGAGGAAAAUGUAAGAGGAAAGCGGCGGACGGGUGAGUAACGCGUAGGCAACCUGCCCUUAGCAGAGGGAUAGCCAUUGGAAACGAUGAUUAAAACCUCAUAAAGCUGUGAUAACACAUGUUAAUGCAGUCAAAGAUUUAUCGGCUAAGGAUGGGCCUGCGUCUGAUUAACUAGUUGGUGAGGUAACGGCUCACCAAGGUGACGAUCAGUAGCCGACCUGAAAGGGUGAUCGGCCACAUUGGAACUGAGACACGGUCCAAACUUCUACGGAAGGCAGCAGUAAGGAAUCUUGCACAAUGGGGGAAACCCUGAUGCAGCAACGCCGCGUGAACGAUGAAGGCCUUCGGGCUGUAAAGUUCAAAACCUAGGGAAGAAGGAAGUGACGGUACCUAGGGUUAAGCCCCGGCUAACUACGUGCCAGCCGCCGCAGUAA
rnacentral:rRNA from 1 species